UUGGCUGAUUAUGUUAUUAAUAAGGCAUCGGGCCAACAGUAGACUAUUAGAAGUUUUGGGGGAGUCAGAAGUACACAGUUUUUUGACUGCAUGUGGGUCAGCGUUCCUAAGCCCUGUGUUGUUCAAUAUUAUACUUUGAAUUCUAAGACAAAGUAAUUCUGACAUUAGAAUUAGAAAGUCACUGUUUCAUGUCAUCCAGAUUUCAUUAUUACUGGUGAAAAGCCCCGUUCUAACCUAUUCUUGAUCCCGCGUAUGAAAAUGUUUUCUCUGUUCUCUUUGGAAGCUGGUUAAGAUCUGCCUCGCCUCAGAGUAGCUAUAUUCACUUUCUGUCACUGCAUGACAAAUUACCAUACACUUUGUGGCUUGAAACAGCACUCACAUUUUGGUUCGCAGCUCUGUAGGGGCGUAAGUCUGUCACGGUAUGGGUAGGUUCUCUGCCCAAGGCAUCACAAGGCUGAAAUCAAAGUGUCAGCCUGGUCCAGUUCUUGCCUGGACACUCUGUGAAAAAAAUGUCUUCUCAUUCUUGGAAUUUGUUUCCUUGCUCUUCUAGGACCAUUUCCUUGCUGGUUGUGCCCUGGGGAUUCUUUGACAUAUGGCUUCUUCCAUCUUGAAGCCAACGGCAGCGUGUCAGAUCCUCGUGGGCUUGCAGUGUCUGUCUUCCUUUCCUGCAACCGGUCAGAAGUAGCUCUUUCACUUAGAAGGCUCGUGCCAGACCGUGUUAGGUGAGGCCCACUGGGGUCGUCACCCUAUUUAACGUCCACUGUGCAGGCUCAAGUGGAUUAACUACUUCUGAGCAUUAGAGACUGAGAUGAAUCCUCCCGAAGAAAUCUCAUCACAGAUGGUUGGGAGCCAUGCUGAUUAGAAUGCUUACUGUUCCAGCACUAGGACACGUUUAGAGGGGUUCUUAUUCAUCUCAGAAGCCCUGAGCAGCUCUGAAGAGCCAGAAAUGAACGUGCCGGUUCUCCUGUGUUCUUUGAGCACGUACUGGUGCUGAAGAGAGCACCAGGACCUUGAAAAACUCUUGUCUCAUUUAAGCCUCUGAAAACACCCCAGAGUGGAGGUUACUUUUCCCUUUUGAGGACGUGGAAGCUUGGAGACGUUCCGAAACCUGCCCGAGGCCAUGUAGUUACAAAUGACAGCAUCAGGAAUCAAUUCAUCCAUCUCCCAAACUGGAAGAAUUCCAUUUGCACUGCAAGAAAGUCAACACCUUGAGAAGAGAGAGUUUGCAAUUUAAGUGGAGAGGCUAACGGAGAAAACCAGCUGGAGGGAAACUUCUAACGAAAACAUCUAAGGAGACCAGCCCUGUGAGACAGCACACAGUAGUGCGUCCCUGUUGUCCAACAUAGUUAUUGGUAACAGUCUUUUUCACUCCCCAAAGUGUCCUGGUUGUGAUGAUAAAUUAUAUAGUCACCCUAACUACCACCCCAGUUCUCAUAGAUCCCCAUAAUCUGAAUGCCUUCUGAUGUCUGGAUGGUCAAUAUCCCCUUCCAUUAUGUAAUCUGCCUCAGACCUCUCCAGGAAAUUAUUUUUUGGCGUAAGUGAAUCAGAUCUGUGUCUUGUUUGCAACAAUAACAAAAACUUGAGUUGUGUCCCUUGAAAUGACUUCAUUUCAGAAAUGGCCCUCAGGAAUCAGGUGGCUGGCAUUUUUGACUGAUAAUAUUCAGCCUCCUCUCUCAACAAUACCUAUGCUUGCUCAAAGGACUUAUGGACAGAUGUCCACAGUAACACGGAUAGAAGUCAUUCUAGAAAGCAUGACUGCCCCUCACCUGGGCUGACUCAGUUCCCGCUGCUGCUCAGUACAGAGGCAACAACCAAGUCUGAGGCUGCUUAGGGAACCAUUCCUUGAAAGGAUCUGCCAGCCUAGCGGAAGGCUGACUGAUUAAAAUGCAUUUCAUUCAUUUUGGCGAGAAAGGAAUUAGUUCUCACUGGAAUUGUUGCCUAUUCUAGAUUUGAAUUUGCUCCCCAAUCUCAGAUGCUUACUCAGUCUGUGGACUUACGGAAUGCCUUAUUUGUUGCUCUGGUAUCUCAUACCAAGAAACAGUUGCCACUGCAAUGAGGUAGGACGGGGGAGAGAUGCCUAUGGGAUUCAUUGCUUUAUAAGGAACCUAAUUGCCGGAAAGCAAAGCACACGAUCUAAUAAAGAGGAGAGGGGGCUUACUGAUGGCUCACCCUUGGAGUCAGCCUGGGGAUUACAUCUUGUAGGGGGGGCAUCUUGCUUAUGGGGAAUAUGCUCAGAACCAGAAACCAAUGUUUGGUGCUAUUUCUCUCAUUGCCAGAAUAGAGGGAGUGGGAACCGAUAGGCAAACAUGGAAAUGAUGCACUUCUGACUGCCCUAACGGCCUGCUUACAGAGUUUUGGCUUCCCAUCCCUGCAAUUUUGGACUUUGUUGUGUUAGGAGUCUCUGCACCUGUUUCAGUCGGGAUCCCACAGAAACAGCACAGGCAAAGUUGGGUAAUAAAGUACAGCUUAUUUAUAAGAAGACUCUUAUAAAAUUGUAGGCAAGACGUAGUGGAACCACAAGGGGCGGUGAAGGACUCAGGGCCAACAGCACUAGGGUUUUCAUCACCUCCAAGCUCCAUGGAGCAAGGGGACAGAAGGGUCUUAGAAAACUAGAAUAGGGGCGCCUGGGUGGCUCAGUCAUCUAAGCAUCUAACUUCAGCUCAGCUCAUGAUCUCAGGGUCCCCGGAUUGAGCCCUGAAUUGGGCUCCCUGCUCAGCAAGGAGCCUGCUUCUC